AUGUCUCUACUAAAAAAUAAUAAUAAUACAAAAAUUAGCCAGGCCUGGUGGCAGGUGCCUGUAGUCCCAUCCACUUGGGAGGCUGAGGCAGGAGAAUCGCCUGAACCUGGGAGGCAGUGGUUGCAGCAUUACAGUGAGCUGAGAUCAUGCCACUGCACUCCAACAUGGGCUACAGAGCAAGACUCCAUCUCAAAAAAAAAAGAAAAGAGAAAGAAAAAAAUGUUUCCUGUGCCCUUUGAAUCCCACUCUUGGGUAUUCUCAAUGUCUAUCAGCAUAUUAAAGACUCCCAUAGUUCUCCAAGAAAAGAAAUCCAUUUAAUUUUAUUACACUUUUCACAUUUACUUGACUAGAGAAAUCUUUUCUCCAAAGAACUCUUAGCACAAGCUCCUGGGCCCAUGUUGCAAGGUUUGUGCACUUUGGGAAACACUAGCCCAUGGGUCAAAAGCAAACUCUUUAGGAGCACAUUCACAGCCAUAAUCUGCCUCCAGACUCCCUCUGCAACGUCCCUGCCAGCUGUUCCUAAACACUCGGGACUCUACCAACACCAAGCCACUGGUGGCUCCCUAAACACACUGAGCUAUCCAUCUCAGACCUCUUCCUUGCCUACCUGCUGAACUCCUUGAUCUUAAUAAUCUAGCUCAAGAAGUUCUCCUUUGUGAAAUCCCAAACACCACCUCUCUCUGAACUCAUUCAGCCUUAUACAUGACACACACGUAUGCACAUGCACACACACACAUAUAUAGGGCACUAUUCCCUUCUCCGUAUCACUUUGUAUCUGGUGAUAAAUUCUGUCACAACCCAUAUCGCAUCAUAUUGUAAACAUUCAUCUACCUGUUUGUAUUACAAGACCAUUCCAGUGUCUGGAUAGUACUAGACACUCCAUAGAUGAUCUUCAAAUGUAUAUAUUCAUUCGUUCAUUUAUUAAUUUCAUCUGUGAGAAGAACACACUGUGAGUUCUACCCUUACUGAAGUGCUAGCUAAUCUCUCCCAUUCUCCUGUAGGAAGGUAAAUGUUACUUAAUUGGGGUAGAUCCAAAGUAAUAUGAGAAGACAUUUCUAGUCGUUGACUCUAUGUUAAAAGACACAAGCUUCAUUCACUUCAUGUAUGGCACAUGCAGUUACAGCAUUUUGAUGAACUGAACUCCCUUGCUAUUCUUGUGAUCAUUUAGCUGCACUGAAAGAUCAUCACUGAAAGCAGUGUCAGGUGUGUCCCUGUCUUCCUGCCAUGUGGUACCAAAGUCAGACUAAAGAGCAGUAGGAAGUAUGUCUCAUGAUUACCUAGGCCAGAGGAUCUCAAGCUUGAGCGUGCAUCAGAAUCACCAACAGGGCUUGUUCAAACACAGAUUGCUGGACCCCACCCUCCAGUGGCUGAUUCAGUAGGUCUGGGGUGGGGCCUGAGAAUUUGCAUUUCUGACAGUUCCCAGAGGCAGCUGAUGCUGCUGGUCCAAGGACCACUCUUUGAGAACUACUGAUCUGUGAUUGCCUGACUGCUUCCCAUGCCAGUAGUAUACUAGAAUCUAAUUGCUUGAGCCACCUUAUUACUGUUAGGGGGAGAUGGCAAAGACCACCAGCACUAAACUUGGAUUCCAAGGAUCAGUACUGCCAUUCUGCCUUCCAGCAGUGUGACAACUGGCAAAUCAAGAAAACUCAGAGUGCCUUAGCUUCUUCUACCAAAAAAAGAAAAGGCAAUUCUUUAUCACUGUGCAUGCUUACUGAUUUGCUGUGUGUAUAUGAAUACAAUGGAAAAAAACAACUUACAAGUGCCUUUAUAUCCUGUAAGGCAGUAAACGAAUAAGAAAUUUGAUCAAAAGAGAUAAAACAAACAUAUCUGAGUGGUAAUAAUAAAACUUUUAAGGUAUCUGGAAUCAUGAGGGUGCUUUAGGGGAAGAGUUCAGAGACAAAUCUCUCUAUAUUAAUUUAAAAAAAAAGUUUUCAGACAUUAGCAGGUAACAAUAGAAUUUGACUUUAACCAUUGAAAUGUUUUGUUGACCAGAGACAGGGAAAAUGCCUCCCUAAUUAGGAAAACAUGUUGAUGGUGAUUUAUUAACAGUAUUAAUCUGAAAUCAAAGAUGCAAAAUAUAGAUAUUUAUCGAAGUUAAUUUUAUUGUACCUAAUCUCACAUACUGGCUAUUACACAUUUCUAAAAGCUGUCUUUGUUGAUAUCCUGUACAUUAAUACAUGAUAAAUAGUUACACAUUUAUUGAACCAACCAUUGUCAAGGAGAAAGGCCUAGGAUAUCCAAAGUUUAAGACAGGCUUUUUAUGCAAUUUAAAAUCUAGCAUUUAUUGACAUGAAGAAAAAAUUGAAUACUUAUGCUUUCUCCUUAGUUAUAUUGAAUUCUUAAAUGUUUUUGUUUUGAGAUAAUUGUAAAUUCACAUGCAGUUUUAAGAAAUAAUAGAACUCAUGUACCCAUUAUCCAAUUUUCCCAAUGGUAGCACCCUGCAAACUACAAAAGGUACAGUAAUUAUCCAAACCAGGACCUAGACCUUGAUAUAAUCCAUUGACCUUAUUCAGAUUUCAUUUGUACUUGUAUAUGGGUAUUUAGUUCUACACACUUUUACCACAUGUAGGUUCAUGCAUCCCCACAACAGUCAAGAUACACCAUAACUUCAUCAUAAGGAUCCCUUGUGUUGCUUUAUAACCACACCCAACUUCUUCCCCAUCUUCCUUCCCUCACCCCCUGACAAUCAGCAGUCUGUUCUGUACUCCUAUAAUUUUCUCAGUUUAAGAAAGGUAUAUAGAGUCAUGCAGUAUAUAACCUUUUGGAAUUUCAUUCACCAUCUUUCCUUUGAGAUUUAGCCAAGUUGUACGACUCAGUACUUUCUUUUUAUUUAUGAGUAAUACUCCAUAGUAUAGAUGUAACAUGGAAUUUAUCUAUUUAACCACUCACUCAUUGCAUAGAAAAAAAUUUUUCAAGGCAUGGAGGUGAGAAAAUUCAAGCGGUGUCCAGGAAACAUUAUACAUUUUUUUAACUAUCCUUUAUUGUUAGAAAAAUUAUUUAAGGAAGAGACAACUAGACCAAUUUGGGUUAAAGUAAUGAGUUCAUCUAGAGCAGGUGUUCACAAACUUGUUCUAUAAAAGCCAAAUAGUAAAUAUUCUGGGUUUUGUAAGCUAUAUAAUCUUUCACAAGUAUUCAUCUCUGCUACACAAAAAGCUACCAUAGAUAAUAUUCUGAUAAAAGGCAUAGUUGUGUCCCAGUAAAACUUUAUUUACAAAAACAGGUCCAGGACAUCUCUGGAUUUAAAGAAAUAAGAAAAAGCUGACCAGGCAAGUUGAAAUGAAAUUGUGAAGGGCCUUGAAUACCAAGUCAUUGAUUGUAGAAUUUGGUAAGCAUUUAGAUGUCCCUGGAGAUUUUUCUGAGCAGAUAAUUGGUAGAGAAAGGAAUGUUUUCAUUUUAGAAGAUUAAUUUGGAAAUAAUCGAUAAAAUGAAUUCAUGGUAUGAGCAAGAGAAAAUGGAAAAAGGAGAUGACUACAGGGAUUAUCCAAGAUAAAAAUAAAAAGGGCCUGAACUGGGCUAUUAUUAGACAUAAGAGGAAAGCAGAGAAAUAAAAUUUAAAGAAAGAAAUGAUAGGCCAGGCAUAUUGGCUCAACCCUAUACUCCCAAUACUUUGGGAGGCUGAGGCAGGAGGAUCAUUUGAGCUCAGAAGUUCGAGACUAGCUUGGCCAAAUGGUGAAAUCCGGUCUCUAUAAAAAAAUUAAAACAAAACAUUAGCCGGGUGUGGUGGUGCAUGCCUACAGUCCUAUCUACUAGGGAGGCUAAGGCUACAGGAUUGCUUGAGCCCAAGAGGUUGAGGCUGCAGUAGGUCAUGAUCAUACCAUUGCACUCCAUCCUGGGCAACACAGCAAGAUCUUGUCAAGGAAAAAGAAAAGAAGAAAGAGAAUGGGGAUGGAGAGGGAAAGGUAAAGAAAAACAAAGGGAAGAAAAAAAGAAAAGAAAGGGAAGGGAAAGGAAAAGGAAAAGGGGAGGGAGGGAGGGAAGGUCAGGGUAGGACAGGAAAGGGCAGUGAGGAAAGGAGGGAAGGAAGGAAAAGAUUGGGAAAUUUACUGAAUACCAUGACAAGGGAGACAGACAGAAAAAGCAAAAAUACAUCAGAGUUUUAAUUAAGCUGAAGCUUUGCAAUGAAGCUGACCUGAGUUUGAAUUUUUUGUUCUACCCUUUAAUUGAGCAACUUAUGAAAUCUCAAUGUUGGCUUUCUCAUCUGUAAAGGGAGUAAGAACAGUAUCUUCCACACAGUGCAGUUGGCCAGAUCAAAUGAAGUAAUGCAGGUAAAGCUCUUAGCACAAUAAUUUGUAGACACAUAGCAAUUUUUUUUUUUUUUUUUGAGACAGAGUUUCUCUCUUGUUACCCAGGUUGGAGUGCAAUGGCGCGAUCUCGGCUCACUGCAACCUCCACCUCCUGGGUU
ensembl:lncRNA